rnacentral:lncRNA from 1 species
GUUUUGAGGCCCAGAGAGGCAGGAAGGCACGGUAGUGGACUCGGGACUGACUGUCUAGGUAUGGGUUGGGGACUAGAGCACGUGGAAAUCUUUUGCAUUUUGGUCCUCCAGAUGAUGGCUAAGCUCUGAUGCCUAGACAAGCACAAAAACAAGAGGUGGAGGAGAUCAUAGAGAACAUAAGUAUACUUGACUGGGAUUAUUCUUACAUGAGGAAGCAAGGAUCCCACUCUGUGCAAGAGAGACUGAUAUUGGCAAAGAGGCAGAAACAUGAAGCUCCUCUUCCAAAAAGAAUCCAACUAUUUCUGAAAGUGGAGACUGGAGGCUGCUACAACUUCCCAUCAUGGCCUUGGCAUGUGGUCUCUUGCAAGGUACUUGCUCUUCACCUUAGAUGUCACUAACCUUUGUGAGUGGAGACUAUCUCUUCAGCACAUGGGGAACAAGCGUAGCAGCAAAUGGGCUCCCCUUCUUUGACCAUCUUCGCAUAUCCGGCACNACAGCUUUCGGUGCACUGGGCACGAGGCACAGUCUAAUU